CACCUACGGGUGGCAGCAGUGGGGAAUAUUGCACAAUGGGCGGAAGCCUGAUGCAGCGACGCCGCGUGAGGGAUGACGGCCUUCGGGUUGUAAACCUCUUUCAGUACCGACGAAGCGUGAGUGACGGUAGGUACAGAAGAAGCACCGGCCAACUACGUGCCAGCAGCCGCGGUAAUACGUAGGGUGCGAGCGUUGUCCGGACUUACUGGGCGUAAAGAGCUCGUAGGCGGUUUGUCGCGUCGUCUGUGAAAUCCCACGACUCAAUCGUGGGCGUGCAGGCGAUACGGGCAUAACUUGAGUACUGUAGGGGAGACUGGAAUUCCUGGUGUAGCGGUGGAAUGCGCAGAUAUCAGGAGGAACACCGGUGGCGAAGGCGGGUCUCUGGGCAGUAACUGACGCUGAGGAGCGAAAGCGUGGGUAGCGAACAGGAUUAGAUACCCUGGUAGUCCACGCCGUAAACGGUGGGUACUAGGUGUGGGUUUCCUUCCACGGGAUCCGUGCCGUAGCUAACGCAUUAA
rnacentral:rRNA from 1 species